UCUACUAUAGAUUAAGUAAUUUAAGUUGUGUAGUCUAAUUUAAAGUGUAUACUUUGUCUAAUGUGAAUUAAUUAAUGUUUUGUUGUCAAUGCUUAGCUACCAGAUCUAUUGAAAUGAGAUCAGUGCUUGACUUGGACAGGAGCUCACCGAAGCUGAGUACCGUCACCUCAAAUUUCUACUGUUUGAACUCCUGUUCCUCUUAGAAUAUUAGCUCAACAGUAUUGUGGCACUCCUGCGGCUAAAUAUAAACAAUAUUUUUAGAUAAUAAAUUAAUAAAUUAAGUGCCAGAACUGUCAAGACAAUAACUUUUGUGUCUUUCUCUUUAUUACUACUGGCUGACUCAGAUUAAGUCUGAGGCCGGUAACAUCAACAGUGAGGACAAACCCAAGCUGCCUCUCUCCUUCCACACAUUUUGUGGUUGCACAACUGUGUUGUGUUUUUGAAGUAAUACAGUGAAUACAAGGUUAUUCAGGAAAAUGAAACUAACCAACCAAAAAUAGCACAUCGUGCUGCCUAAAACAAACUGUAACCUUGUACUAAAUAGUUUUUGAGUGAUUUAUGCAUUUAUCUACUACAGGUUAAGUUUUAGCUCAAAUGUAUUAUGAAGCUCCUGCACCUAAAUAUAAACAGUACCAGCACACAAUGAGUAUCGGCAACUAUUUCAGCACUGAAUUACACAACUAAGUCCAGCACUGAAUUAGGUAAUUGAACAAGAAAAAAUAUUAUAUAUUUAAUAGAGAGUAAAGUAAGUGCCAGAACUGUCAAGACAAUAACUUUUGUGUCCGUUUCUCUUCUACUACUUGCCGACUCUGGUAUGAGGCCAGUAACAUCAACAGUGAGGACAAACGCAGGCCUCCUCUCUCCUUCCACACUGAGUCCAAACCCACAGUCACUGGGUCCUGAUUGUGACAGUAGAGCCCAGUUUUACAGCAGGAUCCAGAGAUGGCAUCAGUGAAGCUGGAAGACUGCAGUCAAACAAUGGAGCUGAAUGUCAACAUUAAAGAUGAAGAAGAGAAGAUUGGGGAAUCUGUUAAUCAUGGAGACCAUGUUGAGACAUUCUCUACAUCCAGAGAGCAUCAGCAGGAAGAUCACAGAGCAAAGAUGUCUCACCACUGCACACAUUGUGAGGAGAUUUUCCCAUUUCUACCAAAGCUAAAAAUACACCUAAAAAUACACACAGGAGAAAAACUUUACUCCUGCUCUGAAUGUGGAAAAUGCGUCAAAACAUCAGCAUCACUAAAACUUCAUCAGAGAACACACACAGGAGAGAAGCCU